rnacentral:tRNA from 1 species
GGCAUUGUGACUGAGUGGUUAGGCGAGGCCUCGCAAAGGCUUUUUACAGUGGUUCGAAUCCACUCGAUGCCU